CCAAUUCCUUGCAACCUGGAACAUUCAUCCACUUACCACUUCACCACUCUUUACAUUUCUCAAUCUAAGAUGCAUGUCUUGGAUGAUAUCGCCAUUAUUCCAAAUGAUAAGCCUCUCGUCAGCAAGGCAGUUGCCUUUUUUUGACGGAACUCAUUUGACUACACAGUCAUUUGGGAGAUUUUGCAGGACUUCUUCCUAGUGAAGCAAAGGUGGCAAUUGUUGGUUGGAACUUCUGUCCCAUAUCCAGAUGAGUUGAUUGAGUAAUGGAAUGGCUUCCAUCAUAACCAUAAAGUGAAGAAAUCGAUGGGGGAAGCUUUUCUGUAUUUUCUAGUUCAAAAAUGGGUAUUGUGAUUUUCUUCUCCUUUUUACCUAUUUCUAAUGAUGGUAAAGGUUUGAAGAAAUUGCAGAAAAGGACACCUAGACUUGAGGGUGCUGGUUUAGGGUGAUGGGGUGAAAGUAGGAAAGAGAAAGACUAGAGAGAAACGGUGAAAGAGAGAGGGAGAUCGUGGGAGGAGGGACAGAGUGUGGGGUGGAAUUAGAGGGGCUCAUCUAUAAUUUUGAUUUUUAUUAACACAAAAUUUUGGUUUGAUCCCUCCAUUUAAGCCUUUGUUUGGAUUGAACAAAAAACAAUUGAG
rnacentral:misc_RNA from 1 species